rnacentral:rRNA from 1 species
CGAAGGGGGCUAGCGUUGCUCGGAAUCACUGGGCGUAAAGCGCACGUAGGCGGCUUCUUAAGUCAGGGGUGAAAGCCUGGAGCUCAACUCCAGAACUGCCUUUGAUACUGAGAAGCUUGAGUUCGGGAGAGGUGAGUGGAACUGCGAGUGUAGAGGUGAAAUUCGUAGAUAUUCGCAAGAACACCAGUGGCGAAGGCGGCUCACUGGCCCGAUACUGACGCUGAGGUGCGAAAGCGUGGGGGAGCAAACAGGAUUAGAUACCCUGGUAGUCCACGCCGUAAACGAUGAAUGCUAGCCGUUGGCGAGCUUGCUCGUCAGUGGCGCAGCUAACGCUUUAAGCAUUCCGCCUGGGGAGUACGGUCGCAAGAUUA